CGGUUUGACAGUUCGUUUUGCACAUCCGUCACGUCAUAUACACCAGUAUUGUUUUGAAGUUGCACAUACACCGGUUUGCAAAUUCCCAUAAAACUUAUUAAACUUAGUCAACUUAGUUAACCCCCUAAAAUGGUAGUUUUUACCCAAGGGGUGGAUCACUUAUUCAGUGCACAUCAGAUGUGCAUUUAUUUGCAUCAAAUGCAUUUUUUUGGUGUUCACAUCAGCUUAACACUGGCCCAUACCAUCGUAUAGUGCUAUAGCAACACGCCAUUGUUUGUUGUGAUUGUUAUGAAAUUGUCAUAAUCAAGCUUUUUGGAAACCGGAAUAUAUAAUAAGUUUAAAAUCCUGACCGAUGCUUAACUUGGAAACAUCACGAUCAAGCAUCUAAUUACUUGAGGACUUUUCCGUCAAGAACAGUCUAUGCAUACAAAGUGGAGAAAGGAUAAAUGGUUGACAGGAAUAUAUUGACGCACGUUCUGAGGACUAAUCGAAAGUACUCGGAAAUUUCUUCCUAAGAAAUCUAGCUACAGUCUGCUUACCAGUGGAAAAUAGAAAUCUGCAUUGAUUCGCAAAUUAAUGAUUAAAAAUAUAACACAACGAUUUGAAUUA